CUGCUGUGGCCUCAGCAAGGACGUGCAGCAGAGCCAGCUGAUGCCUGAGUGUGAGGAAGUGCACCGGGAUUCAUGCCGUGACGUCUUCUCUGAAACAUGGAAGUAAUAUAAACAGAAAAAAACGUCCCUUCCAAAUAUUGGUUCAGAUGCAGGAAGUACACAGUUGCCAAAGGAGAUGAACAAACUGGGAAUCAGAAAAAAGCAAAUUAUUCUUGAAGGCAUCAGAGUAGGUUUCCCAAACAAAGGAGAGUGCUAUUUCUUUGUUAAGGAAGAAAAAAAAAGCCAUUAUGGAACAAACUUUACCCUUUAAUGUCGGUGUACGACAAAAACGCUUUCGCUCUGAUCUGCGAUCUGUCUUUCUUGCCAUUCUCCAACUUCGGUGUCCUCCAGAAAGGGAUUUACUGAGUGGCUUUACACAUCUUUCAAGUAAAGAUUAACAACAACAAUAAUAAUAAAGUAAUAAAUUGGCCACGAAUCUUGGCACAACCUGAAA